GUUCCCUUCAGGAUGUUUGAUAAAUUUGGAACGAUACAGAGAAGAUAAGAAUGGCUCUAGUGCGAGGAUGAAACGCAACAAAACGAAAAAUGGUCAGAUUUG
rfam:Solanum tuberosum cultivar DM 1-3 516 R44 scf00127_54, whole genome shotgun sequence.